rnacentral:rRNA from 1 species
UACGGAGGGUGCAAGCGUUGUCCGGAAUCACUGGGCGUAAAGGGCGCGUAGGCGGCUCAUGAAGGCUGUGGUGAAAGUCCGGGGCUCAACCUCGGAUCGGCCGUGGCGACUCGUGGGCUGGAGCACUGUAGAGGCGGGUGGAAUUCCGGGUGUAGCGGUGAAAUGCGUAGAUAUCGGGAGGAACACCUGUGGCGAAAGCGGCGCACUGGACCACAACUGACGCUGAGGCGCGAAAGCUAGGGGAGCAAACAGG